ACCAAAAACAGUAAGAACUGGUUGGAUUGAGAAUUAAAUUUUUAUAAUGGGGUGACCAGUUGAGUGUACAGAGUUCUUCUAGAUUUUUAUUUCAAGUAAUUGAAAAUGUCUCCUGACCACACCUUUCCAUAUGCAGUUUGGGAGUAUAUAAGUUGAAACAGUAUUCAGAAGAAUCAUAGUUCGGUUAUACCUUACAAACAUCAUCAACAUGUUGAAACUGAUCGCUUUGUUCGCCCUCAUGGUCUGCGCAUUGGCUGCACCUAAACCAAAACCACAGCUGCCAAUAAUUUCAGAAUAUAAUCCAUUGAUCUACCCCUCACCCAACCCAAUAGGAUAUAAUUUGGGUUUCAAUAAUCUUGGAUAUUCAUAUGGUUAUACUCCUUAUGCACCAAAUUUCUACUAUAAUGGUUUGAACAACUUGGGCUAUGGAUUAUACCUCUGAAAGAUGAUCAUUAGAUUUGUAAAAUUCUUAUUAGGAACCCAUGCUAAAUUCGAUUUGAAUAAACAUUUCAAUAUUUAA